rnacentral:misc_RNA from 1 species
GAACCACUACGGAUGAAAAUCACGGCCUUCAUUCAUCGAACGUAAUCAAGCAGCAGCGCUCUUUUUCUAACAUAGUCCUUGUUGUACGCGACUUUUUCUCGCUUCAUGAGAUUCAGAUCAUCACCAUUCACCUCCAAACCCACAGCAUUUUAUUUUAUAUCAGAAAAAAUCCCUCAAUUAGUCAAAAAUACACAUCUCUCUCUCUCUCUCUCU